AUUGAACGCUGGCGGCAGGCCUAACACAUGCAAGUCGAGCGCGCGGCGGACGGGUGAGUAAUGUCUGGGAAACUGCCUGAUGGAGGGGGAUAACUACUGGCAACGGUAGCUAAUACCGCAUACCAUCAGAUGUGCCCCGAUGGGAGUAGCUAGUAGGUGGGGGAAGGGAUCACCUAGGCGACGAUCCCUCGCUGGUCUGAGAGGAGGACCAGCGACACUGGAACUGAGACACGGUCCAGACUCCUACGGGAGGCAGCAGUGGGGAAUAGUGCACAAUGGGCGCAAGCCUGAUGCAGCCAUGCCGCGUGUGGGAAGAAGGCCUUCGGGUUGUAAAGCAAUUUCAGCGGGGAGGCGUUACCCGAAGAAGAAGCACCGGCUAACUCCGUGCCAGCAGCCGCGGUAAUAC
rnacentral:rRNA from 1 species